AUUGAACGCUGGCGGCAGGCCUAACACAUGCAAGUCGAGCGGAUGAAGGGAGCUUGCUCCUGGAUUCAGCGGCGGACGGGUGAGUAAUGCCUAGGAAUCUGCCUGGUAGUGGGGGAUAACGUCCGGAAACGGGCGCUAAUACCGCAUACGUCCUGAGGGAGAAAGUGGGGGAUCUUCGGACCUCACGCUAUCAGAUGAGCCUAGGUCGGAUUAGCUAGUUGGUGGGGUAAAGGCCUACCAAGGCGACGAUCCGUAACUGGUCUGAGAGGAUGAUCAGUCACACUGGAACUGAGACACGGUCCCGACGCCUAAGGGAGGCAGCAGUGGGGAAUAUUGGACAAUGGGCGAAAGCCUGAUCCAGCCAUGCCGAGUGUGUGAAGAAGGUCUUCGGAUUGUAAAGCACUUUAAGUUGGGAGGAACGGCAGUAAGUUAAUACCUUGCUGUUUUGACGUUACCAACAGAAUAAGCACCGGCUAACUUCGUG
rnacentral:rRNA from 1 species